UGUUCACAGUGGAGAAAGUUUUAUCUUACUUUAAAUUUUACUCAGUGAGAUUCAACUUCUCCAACUGCAAACU
rfam:Octopus bimaculoides Scaffold24604_contig_1, whole genome shotgun sequence.